ensembl:lncRNA
AAAUAUCUCUUCAGCUGCUUCCUAAUAUUUGUUCCACAGGAAGGGUGUUAGUUCACAGCACAGUGUGCUUUGUUAUAUCUGCAUCGGCGAAGCAGAUAAUCUCAGCCUCUCUUCAUCUGGAAAAGGUGCAGAGGAAGAGCGCUAGGAGACAGUGUUGUAGUUAGGGAUUAUUGUGGAGUUCUCAAGGUACAAGACAACAGUCAGCUGGACAUCAUUUAUCGAGAUGAAGGCAUGCUGGAGUGGAAAAGAUGACAGUCAGAAGUGGAGAUACACUGCAGUCUGUGGCGUUCUUCCAGCAUGGGACAACUGCCCCUCCUCGUCAUCCCAGCCUGUCCUUCUCAAAGACCCCGUACAGAGCCACUGCAGCACUCUAGUUGUGUGAGUGUGAUUUGCCCAUUACUUUGAGAUUUCUAAAAAUCCAGGCUCCAUCCACUGAAGAAUUCAAAGGAUCACUGAUGGAGGAAUGAUGGCAGUAGAAUCACCUGCAUGCAUCAGCUGCAUGGAAACACCCAGGUGUGUAUAGGGAUAUCAAACCAAGUCCUAUGCACGUUUGAUGUAAUACAUGAGCAGGUUCUGCUCCCAGUCCUGAACCUCUUUGAACGGUGACCAUACAAUUUUUUUUCACCUAAGCUCUGGGAGAAGAUCCCUGCUCAGCCAAGUUGGCCUUCUGCCCCACCUGCAUGACUUUGGACGUUAUGGAAUUGCUCGGUAAGAAGUGGUACUUUAAAAGUGACCAGCACUGGUGGACUCCAAUGCCUUCAGAAGCAGUUUUCCUAGGGAACUUACCAAAUAGUUCCCCGAGCAGCAUGAAGUCUGAUUUCCCCAUAUCCAAUGUUACUGUGGCUCUUUUUCUCCUAUCACCAAGGACUAUAUGUUCACCAAUCUCAUGGUCACUAUAGCCAAGACAGCCUCCAUGCACCAUUUCACCCACGAGACCUUCUCUGCUUACAAGCAACAAAUCUAUGAGGCACCUUUCCUAGUUGACUCCCUUGGUAUCUGUAGCAAGAAGUACUACCAAAGACAUAAAAAUAUUUGUCUCUCUGGAAGAUCUCAGUCUUAUCCAUGAAAUCUCCCUCUUUUUUCUACUGGUCUGAAGCACACACUGAUAUUGAACAUUUCAGGAACUCCUCCAACCUUUGUGAAACAGUUGAAUUUACUAUGUGCAGAUUAUAAAUGACAUCAAUUUUGAAGGGUCAAGGUAUGAAAUAUGAUGUUGUUGCAAUACAUUUACUGUACCCACUAACUCUCACCAUCUGUACAUCACAGACAUCACUGAAAUAGCACAUUUUCUCUGAAAAAAAAGAAGAAAGAUCUUCAAAAUACAGUAUUUUCUCAGAAUCUUGCAAGCUUUAGAAGUUUAUUCUCUUUCCAAGGAACAGUUACAAAAGAGCUUCUGCAAAGUAAGGAAAGUAGAAGAAGUACUAUCCACCAAAUUCUGAAGGACAGAACAGUCCAGUAUCAAGGUCAGGAGCAAUUUCUAUAGUUGAUGAAAGCACGUAAGAAACAAUUUUCCUCCAGUCCCAGAAUUCACAUAUCUGCAUAUUUGUAUCUUGCACAUAUGCAAGAAAAAUCCCAUUGACUUUU